AUUCCUGCCUGAAAACAAAUGUGAGGCUGAGGAUAAGACAGCCCUCGUAUACCAAGAGGACGCAACCAUCACACUCUGAGAAUGUUGGUGCAGAAAGCUAGGAAGAAUUUGAGAUCCCGAAGUCAUCACGGAGCCCCCAUACCUGCCUAUCUGCAGGCUGUAUAGAUGGAGGUCACAGGGGGAAGAAAAACCCUGGAUUUCCAGAACACUGCUACCCCUCUCACCAAUUGGUCGCCAGUAUGGAGACUGAUUUCAUGAAGGUCCAGCGUCUGCUGCGGGCAGUGACCUCGGUCCCUUUCUGGGUCAAACGGCAGAGUGAAGCUGCAGCCAAAUUGAGGGUAAAUAACAGUCACAGCAGGAAGUAGGGAGAAUCCUGUACAGCUGAAACGAUCCUUGAGGAUCCCUGCCAUGGUAGGUGAGAGCAGCAGGGGGGGAAUUUGGAUGACUGGGUGUAUCAUUCUCUUACAGGAAGAAAAAAAUGAAAAAAGGCGAGGACAGCAUAGAGCUAGAAGGGAGGAAAUAAACAGAUGAGGGAGUGAGGAAAAGAGUAGGGAAAGAGAAAAGGGAGGUAGAAAAAAUCCUUUUUGUCUCCAAUCAGUUACAGGUGUAAAGCUUUCUCUAUGUCUGAUCUAGUGCAACUCUAGGCUUUGGAUGGCAUUUUUAUCUCUGCUAGGUUUUUGUUAAAUGAGCACCACACUGGAACCCACUGUUUAUUAACAAAGAAAUGACUGCGUAGAGCUCAAGAAGGGAGGCACAUGGUAGGUUCUUGUCCUCUUCUCAUUCCUGCUAAGAAGUGAGGGGUGCUCCCAAGUGGAUGUUUCACUGCAGGACUAGAAGCAGCACAGGAGGAUUUUUGCAUUCUAAAUGUGAGCACCUCUUAGAAGCACAUACCAGUUCCAGGAGAAAUGUACUAACACUAAAAGCAUAUAUAUUUUAUAAUUUACCAACUAGGACAUGACUGAAUUUUAAUUUGGGUUCCUUAAAAGACACACAAAACACAAACAUUUUGAGUUAAAUGUAAGAGCUGAAGAGGGGUAUGGGUUUCGAGAUGGAAAAUAUCCUAUGGUAACUACACGGUACCUGGUUUUCCUGUACCUAUGCAAUCCAAAUAAAUUCUCAAAAACAUAGGAUUUGCUUAGUAUACCAAUUCUAUUUAUUGUUAAAGAAAGAAGUCACUUCACUUAGUAAAGACCAAUGAUGGCAGGUAGAAAUAAAAACAUUUAAUCUGGGCUGGGUGGAGUGGCUCACGCCUGUAAUCCCAGCACUUUGGGAGGCUGAGGCAAGAAGACUGCUUGAGGCUAGGAGUUCCAGGCAAGCCUGGGCAACAUAGUGACACUCAUCUCUACAAAAAAUUAAAAAAUUAGUUGGGCAUGGUGGUAUAUGCCUGUAGCCCCUGGCUAUUAGGGAGGCUGAGGUAGGAGGACUGCUUGAGUCCAGGAGGUCAAGGCUGCAGUGAGCCAAGAUAGUGCCAUUGCACUCCAGCCAGGGUGACAGAGUGAGACCUUGACUCAAAAAAAAAAAAAAACAAAAACAAAAAAAAAACCCCAAUGGAUCAAAAAUGUGAGAAAAUGGGCACAAUUAGUUUUCGACAAAUCCAGUUUUCCAGUUUCAUAUUUCACAGAAUGUUGCCAGGAGUCCUUUAGCUGGCAGACUCUCCCCGUGCAUUCCAAAAGCAUUCAGGUUCCCAGAACAGGUUUCUAUACACUUUUCAGGAACACAUCUGCUGUGAAAAAUACAAUGUUUGUAGCACUGGGACUCCAAACAAAGCCUGAAGGGGAAGAUGCACUUAAAAAUAUUUAUUAAAGAGGCCGGGCGCAGUGGCUCACGCCUGUAAUCCUAGCACUUUGGGAGGCCGAGGCGGGCGGAUCACUUGAGGUCAGGAGUUCGAGACUAGCCUGGCCAACAUGGUGAAACUCCGUCUCUACUGAAAACACAAAAAAAUUGUCUGGGCUUGGUGGCGCAUGCCUGUAAUCCCAGCUACUUGGGAGGCUGAGGCAGGAGAAUCGUUUGAACCCAGGAGGCAGAGGUUGCAGUGACCUGAGAUCGUGCCACUGCACCACUCCAGCCUGGGGGACAAGAGCGAAACUCCAUCUGGAAAAAAAAAACAAAGAAAAAGUUUAUUAAAGAUAGAAAAUUCUUCCACAUGAGGAAAAGAUGGCCAGAGCCACUGUACAAUUAGGUUCUGACUUAAAGAUUAGAGAUUGAAACAAACAGAAAAAAAUGCAACCGCUUGCAUUUCUUGCUAAAAGUAAACCAAAAGCAGUUUAAUUUGAAGGAUGUGCUAUGGUAGCGGUGAUUAGGUUUUAGGUCAAAUAACCAAUGGGCCCAACUCAAUGUGAGACAGGGGGAGCCUCAUUAAGAAGAGUGGCUGAGAAGGAGGCAGCAUGACCAGUACAAAUUAUUGCCCUUGGAGAAUGGAGAUGUCGCUUUCCUGUUCAUUGAAGAUUUUAAUUAGAAAUGUAUUCUUCUUUAUAGAUGUUUCCAUUAGUUGUAUUCUAAUUAUAGACCUUGACAAAAAAAGCAAAAAGAAGACCCAGCAGAGCCAAGCCCACGGACAUCCUCAGCGCACAGUCUUGAUGUAGCCUUGGCAUGGGCAGCACCAUUCUGGAACUCGCUGAGUCACACUGAGAUGCAGCAGAGGUGUGGGAUCCUGAACUCAGCUGGUUCCCAAGCCCAUUUCUGAAGUCCUAUAAAGAGAGAAACAGAGGAAAAAAUUAUUUUUAGAUGCAGAGAAAGCCCUGUUGUGAUAUCAAUCAAGCAAUGGGUUCCAGAAGGUGCCGCCUUUUAUGUACUCCUUCAACAGAGACACGUUUGAACACCCACCAUGGGCCAGGUGGCCCCAAGGUAGGUAUGAAUGAGUCAGUUCCUUUCCUUGAAGGGCCAGGCCAAGUUCAUGACUCCAGACUACACAUAAACUGUAUGAGAAAGACGGGCCGUGUUUAUAGAAAAUCAAGGCAGAAUUCAUGAAGGGUAGAAUCUGUGUAAAGUGGAGUCAUACCACAGACAUAUUUAACUCUUAGAGAGAUGCA
rnacentral:lncRNA from 1 species